AGUGAACGCUGGCGGCAGGCCUAACACAUGCAAGUCGAACGGCAGCACGGUAAGAGCUUGCUCUUAUGGGUGGCGAGUGGCGGACGGGUGAGGAAUACAUCGGAAUCUACUCUUUCGUGGGGGAUAACGUAGGGAAACUUACGCUAAUACCGCAUACGACCCACGGGUGAAAGCGGAGGACCUUCGGGCUUCGCGCGAUUGAAUGAGCCGAUGUCGGAUUAGCUAGUUGGCGGGGUAAAGGCCCACCAAGGCGACGAUCCGUAGCUGGUCUGAGAGGAUGAUCAGCCACACUGGAACUGAGACACGGUCCAGACUCCUACGGGAGGCAGCAGUGGGGAAUAUUGGACAAUGGGCGCAAGCCUGAUCCAGCCAUGCCGCGUGGGUGAAGAAGGCCUUCGGGUUGUAAAGCCCUUUUGUUGGGAAAGAAAAGCAGUCGGUUAAUACCCGAUUGUUCUGACGGUACCCAAAGAAUAAGCACCGGCUAACUUCGUGC
rnacentral:rRNA from 1 species